rnacentral:rRNA from 1 species
GAUGAACGCUAGCUACAGGCUUAACACAUGCAAGUCGAGGGGAAACGGCAUUAAGUGCUUGCACUUUUUGGACGUCGACCGGCGCACGGGUGAGUAACGCGUAUCCAACCUUCCCAUGACUAAGGGAUAACCUGCCGAAAGGCAGACUAAUACCUUAUGGUCUUCACUGGCGGCAUCAGAUGUGAAGUAAAGAUUUAUCGGUUAUGGAUGGGGAUGCGUCUGAUUAGUUAGUUGGCGGGGUAACGGCCCACCAAGGCAACGAUCAGUAGGGGUUCUGAGAGGAAGGUCCCCCACAUUGGAACUGAGACACGGUCCAAACUCCUACGGGAGGCAGCAGUGAGGAAUAUUGGUCAAUGGGCGAGAGCCUGAACCAGCCAAGUAGCGUGCAGGAUGACGGCCCUAUGGGUUGUAAACUGCUUUUGUAUGGGGAUAAAGUCAAUCACGUGUGAUUGUUUGCAGGUACCAUACGAAUAAGGACCGGCUAAUUCCGUGCCAGCAGCCGCGGUAAUACGGAAGGUCCGGGCGUUAUCCGGAUUUAUUGGGUUUAAAGGGAGCGUAGGCUGGAGAUUAAGUGUGUUGUGAAAUGUAGACGCUCAACGUCUGACUUGCAGCGCAUACUGGUUUCCUUGAGUACGCACAACGUUGGCGGAAUUCGUCGUGUAGCGGUGAAAUGCUUAGAUAUGACGAAGAACUCCGAUUGCGAAGGCAGCUGACGGGAGCGCAACUGACGCUGAAGCUCGAAGGUGCGGGUAUCGAACAGG